GCUCUCCCAGUUAGCUGUUAUCUGCUAGCUGUUAGCUUCUCAUUCAGUGACGCUAUCACUGUGCAAGCCACAGACAUCAUUUGGCCCGUUUCCAUGUAGUUACAUAGUCCCUGAUUUGGUCAUAACCACUACAGUGUUCAAUUACCUGUUUUUGAGGGGGAA